rnacentral:rRNA from 1 species
UACCAGCACCCCGAGUGGUCGGGACGUUAUUGGGCCUAAAGCAUCCGUAGCCGGUUCUACAAGUCUUCCGUUAAAUCCAGCUGCUUAACAGAUGGGCUGCGGAAGAUACUAUGGAGCUAGGAGGCGGGAGAGGCAAGCGGUACUCGAUGGGUAGGGGUAAAAUCCGUUGAUCCAUUGAAGACCACCAGUGGCGAAGGCGGCUCACUGGCCCGGUACUGACGCUGGAGGUGCGAAAGCGUGGGGAGCAAACAGG